AUUUAAACCCGGUUGAAGCGGUAUCCUUUUGGUGUCGUUCUGAGUGUAGUCGAAGAACAGCCAAAAGAUUUAGCGAAAAACGGGAGUAGCC
rnacentral:sRNA from 1 species